AAAAUUCUUCAAUUACGUUGUUCAAUCAGUUACAAUGCUCUCUGUCAUUGUAGGUUAAUCAAAGGGCCACUAUAUUCACUAUGAAGAAUCAAUUAUUUUAACUAAGCUUAGUGCAACUACUAGCACUAUGCAAUGAAAAAGUUAAUCAAAUAAAUUAAACAAAAUUUUUACUUAGAGGAGGCCUACCCCGGCUGCGGAAGUAUCUGGGGCGAAAUCUACUUUGUUAUCUGAUGACAAGGCGUGAGAAUGAUGCCAACUCUAACUCCCAGAUGGAACCCACCCUUCAUCGUGUUAAAGAUGAUCAAUUGUUCACACCUAACACAGUAUAACUAACUACAUCCAUCU